AGCGAACGCUGGCGGCAGGCCUAACACAUGCAAGUCGAGCGCCGUAGCAAUACGGAGCGGCAGACGGGAGAGUAACACGUGGGAACGUACCCUUUGGUUCGGAACAACCCAGGGAAACUUGGGCUAAUACCGGAUAAGCCCUCACGGGGAAAGAUUUAUCGCCGAAGGAUCGGCCCGCGUCUGAUUAGCUAGUUGGUGGGGUAACGGCCCACCAAGGCGACGAUCAGUAGCUGGUCUGAGAGGAUGAUCAGCCUCACUGGGACUGAGACACGGCCCAGACUCCUACGGGAGGCAGCAGUGGGGAAUAUUGGACAAUGGGCGCAAGCCUGAUCCAGCCAUGCCGCGUGGGUGAUGAAGGCCCUAGGGUUGUAAAGCCCUUUCGGCGGGGAAGAUAAUGACGGCACCCGCAGAAGAAGCCCCGGCUAACUUCGUGCCAGCCGCCGCGGUAA
rnacentral:rRNA from 1 species